AUUGAACGCUGGCGGCAGGCCUAACACAUGCAAGUCGAGCGGAGCGGCCGACGGGUGCGUUAUGCCUAGGAAUCUGCCUGGUAGUGGGGGUUACCGUCCGUUAACGGGCGCUAAUACCGCAUCCUAUCAGAUGAGCCUAGGUCGGAUUGGCUAGUUGGUGGGGUAAAGGCCUACCAAGGCGACGAUCCGUAACUGGUCUGAGAGGAUGAUCAGUCACACUGGAACUGAGACACGGUCCAGACUCCUACGGGAGGCAGCAGUGGGGAAUAUUGGACAAUGGGCGAAAGCCUGAUCCAGCCAUGCCGCGUGUGUGAAGAAGGUCUUCGGAUUGUAAAGCACUUUAAGUUGGGAGGCGUUACCAAAAGAAUAAGCACCGGCUAACUUCGUGCCAGCAGCCGCGGUAAUUC
rnacentral:rRNA from 1 species